CCUACGGGAGGCAGCAGUGAGGAAUAUUGGUCAAUGGGCGCGACCCUGAACCAGCCAAGCAGCGUGAAGGAUGACUGCCCUACGGGUUGUAAACUUCUUUUAUAAAGGAAUAAAGUGAGGCACGUGUGCCUUUUUGUAUGUACUUUAUGAAUAAGGAUCGGCGAACUCCGUGCCAGCAGCCGCGGUAAUACUGAGGAUCCGAGCGUUAUCCGGAUUUAUUGGGUUUAAAGGGAGCGUAGAUGGGUUGUUAAGUCAGUUGUGAAAGGUUGGGGCGCAACCGGAAAAUUGCAAUUGAUACUGGCAGUCUUGAGUACAGUUGAGGUAGGCGGAAUUCGUGGUGUAGCGGUGAAAUGCUUAGAUAUCACGAAGAACUCCGAUUGCGAAGGCAGCUUACUAAACUGCCACUGACAUUGAUGCUCGAAAGUGUGGGUAUCAAACAGGAUUAGAUACCCGGGUAGUC
rnacentral:rRNA from 1 species